CCUACGGGCGGCAGCAGUGGGGAAUAUUGGACAAUGGGGGCAACCCUGAUCCAGCCAUGCCGCGUGUGUGAAGAAGGCCCUCGGGUUGUAAAGCACUUUCAGUGAGGAAGAACGCCUGGUGGUUAAUACCCAUCAGGAAAGACAUCACUCACAGAAGAAGCACCGGCUAACUCCGUGCCAGCAGCCGCGGUAAUACGGAGGGUGCGAGCGUUAAUCGGAAUUACUGGGCGUAAAGCGCGCGUAGGUGGCUUGAUAAGCCGGUUGUGAAAGCCCCGGGCUCAACCUGGGAACGGCAUCCGGAACUGUCAAGCUAGAGUGCAGGAGAGGAAGGCAGAAUUCCCGGUGUAGCGGUGAAAUGCGUAGAGAUCGGGAGGAAUACCAGUGGCGAAGGCGGCCUUCUGGACUGACACUGACACUGAGGUGCGAAAGCGUGGGUAGCAAACAGGAUUAGAUACCCCAGUAGUC
rnacentral:rRNA from 1 species